GACGAGGGAUCCUAGCGUUGCUCGGAAUUAUUGGGCGUAAAGCGGGUGUAGGUGGCUUGGUAAGUCAGAUGUGAAAGCCCUGGGCUUAACCCAGGAAGUGCAUUUGAUACUGCUAAGCUUGAGUGCGAGAGAGGUUAAUAGAAUACCUGGUGUAGUGGUGAAAUACGUAGAUAUCAGGUGGAACACCGGAGGCGAAGGCGGUUAACUGGCUCGACACUGACACUGAGACCCGAAGUGCGGGGAGUCAAACAGG
rnacentral:rRNA from 1 species